rnacentral:misc_RNA from 1 species
GGUCAUACUUGCUCCGCUAGAGUGAAAAAGGGGGAGCUUAAAGAUCAACCUGUUGCUGUGAAGAUCAUAUCGAAAGCCAAGAUGACAACAGCAAUAUCAAUUGAAGAUGUUCGUAGGGAGGUAAAAAUAUUGAAAGUACUAUCAGGGCAUAAUUUUAUGAUGCAUGUGAAGAUGCUAAUAAUGUGUACAUAGUCAUGGAAUUGUGUGAGGGUGGCGAGCUUUUAGACAGAAUUUUAGCAAGAGGAGGAAGGUACACAGAGGGAGAUGCAAAAGCUAUAGUUGUGCAAAUCCUGUCAGUGGUGUCAUUUUGUCAUCUUCAAGGCGUUGUACACCGUGACUUGAAGCCAGAGAAUUUUCUUUUCACUUCUGGGGGUGAUGAUGCUGAUAUGAAGCUUAUUGAUUUUGGUCUUUCUGACUUUAUCCUACCUGAUGAAAGACUUAAUGAUAUUGUUGGAAGUGCAUACUAUGUUGCACCUGAAGUCCUGCAUAGAUCUUACCAUCUGGAGGCAGAUAUAUGGAGCAUCGGCGUAAUUUCGUAUAUUUUAUUAUGUGGAAGCCGGCCUUUCUGGGCACGGACAGAAUCAGGAAUCUUUCGUGCAGUGCUGAGAUCUGAUCCCAACUUUGAUGAUUUACCCUGGCCUUUCUGUCACUCCAGAGGCCAAGGACUUUGUGAAGAGGCUCCUGAACAAGGAUUACAGGAAAAGAAUGACUGCUGUCCAAGCUCUAAAUCACCCAUGGUUGAGGGAUGAUAACCGCCCUAUACCUCUAGACAUAUUGAUCUAUAAACUGGUAAAGGCUUACCUGCAUGCUACGCCUUUCAAACGUGCAGCACUAAAGGCCCUUUCAAAAGCGUUGACUGAGGAUGAGCU